GGCACUUUGUCUCAGCAAUGAGAAAAAAGUAACUAAGACAAUCUGUUUUACUCAAAGCCUGCCAAUUUAAAUCCAUCAAACAACAAAAAUACCUCACACAAACACCCAGAAUAACAUCCAGAAUGUUUGACUAAACAUCCAGUUACAAGGGUGCAAAAUUAGCCAUCAUAGGGAUCCAACCUUUCUACCCCUGCAGUCCUUGGAUUUGGUUGUCCCAGAGUGGGGCACAGUCUUCUGCCACCAAGCAGAGUACAGUUUUCUUUCUUUUUUUUUGUCUUUUUCCUUUUUAUCGGUACCGGGGAUCGAACUCACAACUACCUGCUUCCAAGGCAAGCGCUUAUGCCACUGAGCUAAACCUCCAGCCCCGCAGAGUACAGUUUUCAAGGAGCCUCACUGUAAGGUCUCACUAGCUCCUGGCAGCUGACAGGGUCCCUCCGGUUGCCGGAUAAGCACCCCAACACCUCCUGCAUCUCUUUAAGGCUGGGUUUAUGUUCUUUCCCACUCUCUCUUUUGAUCACUGAGUUCUUUUUCCUGUCUGGCAUACGCUUGCCAAUGCAAAAACUGUCCCUGUCCAUGAGCAGGCCUGGGACACUCUAGUCCUGCAUUCAAUUCAUUAUUUUGUUGUUUGAGUUUCCUCAAAGCAUAUUUCUGCCUUCCCAAUUCUUGUUCAAUAUGAGAAAAUGAUGAUUUCUUAAAAACAAGACAUUUUGCCUUUUCUCUGGCUUGUCAACAGUUUUGAGCUUUUGAAAGAAAUCUUAAAAUAUUUUUGUACAUGAACAUCUUUCUGGAACAAGCCACUGGUAAUAAUAAGCUUCCCACAAAGAAACAAUCCCUGACUUCAGUUGUUGGGUUGAUUGGUCUCAGCUGGACUCUCCCUGCCCUCUAGUAAAAAUUGCUAAUGAGCUGCAACAUUCCAGAACGGAAUGGAAUGCUGUCUCCUCCUCCCUGUUAUCCAGUUGCCUGGAAGCAAACGUGUAAGGUACUGUCCAAGAGAGGGCAAGAGAAAGAAGGAACAGAGAGAAGUAGGAGCCGGGAGCAUUUCGGACUGGAUUGAAAAUGAUUUGGGGACUCAGCUCACCCUAGUAAAGAGAUGGGAGAUCUAAGCUCAGCACACAGAGGUUUGUUCCCUUUGUUCACUUGCAACUAGACUUCGGGAUCAAGAUAAAAGGCAGAGCCUUGAAUGUGUGCCACUUGGAUGGCAGCUGUAAACCUUUCCACUGUCAUUUGGCUCUGCAGGAUGGCAGUACUCCAGUGCCCAUGUCCCUCCAUCUUUUAUGAGGCCAUCUUGGAGCAUGUCCCUGGAGCUGUUUGGCUCUGAAUGACACUCUUGGAGCAAACCCAAGACCAACCUGUAGCUUGGAGCCAGCACAGCAGAGCCCAGCCAAGAUUACUCGGACUCCUGCCAAAGCCCAGACCUGGGAGGGAGAGAACUGUUGCCUAAACUUUCGAACCUGGUACUAUCAAGCGAAACAGAAUAGAGGAACAUCAGUCAAAACAAGAUGGUGAGAGCAAUACAGGGCUUCAAAUCAAGUAAUAGAAAAUUAAGGCCUGGAGCUGGAGGUCUGAGCAUCUAUAGGGACAGUGACAGUGUGCACUGUGGCAAGUAUGGGGGUAUGGGGGAUUCCUUCUAUCUCGUUUUUGAAAUCCAAUAUUGUUCUUAUUGCUUUGUUUCUUUACGAUUAAUUUUUUGUUUUAUUCAAUAUUCUGUUUUGUUUUGGUUUGACAUUGCUACAUCUGAUGGAGUGGACAACUAUUGUGAAGUUAACAAGAUAUAUGACAGUAGCCAUUGUUGUGUUCCUAUAGUCCUGCUUUGAAGUUCUGUACCAAUUUCACUGCUUUGUCUUGCUUAGACUUAUUUUGUUGGGUUUUAUUAUCUUUAAAAUAAAAUUUUUAAAAAGCUGUUAGCUUUUGGCCUUCUGAGGAGUGCGGCUGUAGUUUUGGUAAGAGAGCUAAUUUAUUUUGCACUGUCCUGAAAAUACAUGUGUAUGCUACUUAGAAAUCAAAGAAAACAUAAUAAUGACACUCUACUUUUAAAAGUUGCAAAACAUCUAACACUCCAAAGUAAGUAGGUCAAAAAUAGGCAGCAUCUACAAAUAAUAUAUCUGUAAAACCUUAGGAUGAAAGGAUGAAAAAGAAAGGUUUAAUAAAUCAAGGGAUAUGUAAUGAUCUCAUAAGAAAGGAUAUUGAAGGAUGCCAAUUUCACUGAAAUUAAACUAGAAAUUUAACACUUUUACAAGAAUGAUUUUCUGGAAAUCUUAAUAAAAUGAUCUAAAAGUGCUUUAUAAGACUAUCAGGAAAAAAUAGCUAUGAAAAAUUAACAGUUAAAAGACUCCAUUUAUCUUAUGAAUUAGAAUAAAUUAUUAAAAAAUCAAUAACUUAAAUAAUUUGUUUCUGCUGGAAAUGCAGAUAGAUUAAUAUAGCAAAAUACAAUGAUCAGAUGAGCACAUCCAAAGCAUGAGGCAUGAAAUCUACAAAUGUAGUUGAAAAUGUUUAGGCUGGAGAUUUGGCUUAUUUGCAAACAAUAUUGAAGUUUAACUCAGGCAAUAUUUUGGUAUGUGAAAAGGAGGUUCUGUAGUAAUUGGUAAAAUAUCAUCUAACUUUUAUAAAAAUAGUUAAAGUUAAACUUGUACAGGUAAGCACACAAAGACAUCAAGGAUAAAAGCAACUAGCUGGCUGUGGGUGAUUUUUGUGUUCUACUCUUUAUCAGCAUUUUCUAAUUUUUUGAGAGGAAAAUUUAUUUUUAGCAAAUCUGGUUAGCUAUUUCAGGAAAAUAAAUGCAGAUAUAAACAUACAAUGUGGGAGGCUUUUCUUUAAAAAAAAAAAGCAUUCCAAGGUGGGCAUGGUGGUACACCCCUGUAAUCCCAGCAUUUGAGAGGCUGAAGCAGGAGGAUUGUUGUGAGUUCAAGACCAGCCUAGGCUACAAGGCCAGCCUGAAUUUCAUAGUAAGACCCUGUCUCAAAAAAAAAAUUCCAAAUUUCUAGAAAUUCCAUCUCUUGAAUUUCUUUUCCAUCUGUAUGACACUAAAUAUAAAAUUAUACCCCACAAAUUUAUUUAGCAACUCUUUCAAAAUACUUGCACUGCGUUAUGGUAAACAAUUAAGAAAAACAUCAAUGAACUUCCAUGCAAAACAACAUAUUAUGCUUUAGUUUUACAGAAGUUGAUUUAUUCAAGACAGCUAUCCCCCAACUAUGUCAGACACCCAGCCUCAUUUACUUCCCACUACACAUAUGCUUUCUCUCCACUACUUUUUCUAAGUUGCUGUAGGGUUUUACAGAGUCAUUCUUUGGAGUUGAAAUUUUCCAUGCUUGGUCCUCUACCAAAGGUGAUUUCAUUUGGAAAAGAUUGAAAAAUGCAUAGUGCAAAGUGUUCAGUCAUUUUUGCAGUCAUAUAAGGAUAAAGAAAAACACUAUUUGAAAACCAAUUUAAAUUGCUUUUCUUCUAUUGAACAGGAACUCUAAGUGGCUAGUUUGAGGAGGUUUAAUAGUGCAUCUCCCCAGUGCCCCAAACAACAGGUUUUUCUUGACAAAUCGCCUGUUGUUGAUCUCAGUGCUCUGAUUUUUUUAUUCCUCUUUUGCAGUCUUCAUAAAAGAGAGUCUGGACUGGCAGGCAGUGUUAGAAGCUGAGUCGGGUUUAAGCGCUCAGGUGCCCUGAUUGUCUCACACAUACAUACCACUCAAGUGCUGGUGUGUGUUCAGAGGGAGACAGCAACAACCCCACCGGCCGGGAGCAUCAUGGGAGAUGCGCAUGAGAAAUCUCAGAGGAAAUGGUGAGGCCCUGUGACCACUGGCUGUACCGAAGAGCCUGCCGGUUAGUGGCACUUAUCUCACAUUGUGCAAAUCAACAAAGACAAACCAGCAAAGUGAACUCCUUAGGAAUACAGUACAAUGAGCGUUAGAUCAGAGGUUGCACCUCCCACGUACACCUUGCAUACUCAGAACUGAACCCAUGCCUUCUAUUGAAGGCAUGAUCAAAAAAUACAGUGAAUAUUAAACCAAUGUUUUAAACAGUUGCAGUAAAAGACAUCACCAUCAAUUUCCCUUAAAAAUACUCCUUCUCCAUGUAAAAAAAUACUUAGUCCAUCAUUCUGAAGCAGCUCUGGAGGUUCCUUUUGGUGAGUGUUUUUAGUUGUGUUGCCUUGGCUCCGUUGAUGCCCUGAAAAUAGUCAAGAUGUUUACUUUUUGGGGUCAUUCUGACUUUUAGGAGGAGCCAGAAGUGUCACUGUGCCUGAUCCAGUGAAUAAGGUGGAUGAGGACACACUAUAAUGCUUUUAUUUGACAGAAAUUUCUGUAUUUGUUUAAAUCACGUUUUGUAUAUUUCCCAGACCUUUUUUAUUCGUAUUUUCUGACAGAGUUUUGCUAAGUUACCCAGGCUGGCCUCAAACUUGUGUUCUUCCUUUCUCAGCCUUCCAAGUAUCUGGAAUUACAGGCAUGCACCACCACGCUCAGUUUUAGAGGUUCCUCUCAAGAAAUGAUUCUCCAACUGUUGCUGACUGUGAUGGGAUGUCAGUCCGAGGGCUGUCAUGUGUGGUCAUACAAAUUGUGCACUGAGCAGUUCCUCCUGAUCUCAUUUGCCCGUUGCAGUAGCCAGCUUUACUGUUGCUGGACAAAAUAUUGGACACCUGCAACUUAAGGGAUGUAUUUGGUUCACUGUGCUGGCUCCAGAUAUCAUGGUGGAGGGUGUGGCAGAGCAAGAUGGCUUGGUGGAUGGCAGUUGGGUAGCAGAACAGGGGAACAGCACCAAGAUGAAGGAGAGAAGCCGGAUGCAGGCCCCAAGGUCAUACCUCCAUGGGUUUCCAGGCACCCCUAGAAGUAUGUUUUACUAAUCUCCUUGGUGGCCUCCAAGCUAAUCAAAGUGACAAUUAAAUCUGUCACACUAGUGGAAAAGAGAAGUAAUUAAGAAUUGUAGAAAAAAAUACAGUUUCAACCUGUGCCUACUCAGGAGUUCACUUUCUAAAAUGAUGCUUUAGGCACUUAAAAAUAACCCGAUAUCUUCUUACGCAAAACUUCAGAUUUUGUUGUAAAUUAUUCCAAAAAUACAAGUUCGGGAGAAGCACAUCUUUUAAAGGGUUACUCAGCCAGUAAAUUCUGGAGGAGAAAUAAUAGAUGUCUGCUUUAGCAAUAAGAAAAUCUGAUUAUCAUAAACAAUAGGCCAAAACUACUACAGAUGAAAAUAUGUAUCACUGUCUAGGGCUAACCAACCAACUCACGAAAACAGAUAAAUAAAACUGAGAAAAGUAUAAAGUUCUUUAGUUGACACCAUAACCAACUCAAGACAAUAAUAAUACUUAAACAUUUGUAUGACUCAUACUAAGCACUGAAUACUAGUCUCACCAUUUUCUGCGUAUCAACUCAUUUAAGCUUUACAAAGUUUUAUGAGGUAUAAUUUUUUAUUUUGCAGAUGAAGAGAGAGACAGAAAAGAGAUAAAACCAUGUCCUCCUUUGGCUCUAACAAAUGACUACUCUGGAUUCAUGCACUUUGUUACAGUUGUAUUCUUACCCCUUCUGAGUACCAGGCUGGUCUUGUGACUGCUUUGAUCAGUAGAGCAGAAAAGGAAGUGAGAAUGAGGCUGAGCUAGUCCACCGGAAGACAAAGGCAGGGAAGGAGCACCGGGGCAGCCGAGCCCACUCUGCAGCGUGCGCCUUGCUCUACACCACUCCCGGGCCGCAGAUGAAGCAGAGGGAACAGAACGCUUCUGAUGCAGGCGAAGUGGGAGAGUGGGAGGGACCCAGCAAUUGCCAGGAUGAGAGCUAUAACUCAGAGAAGAACACCAAAUGUGAAUCUUCAGAACACGCUAGUAGCACACUGGAAUGCUGGGUCAGUUAACAGUAACUAACCCUGAUUCAUACAAAAAAUGCUUGGGAUUUUGCAGUAGUUGCUUAUGACAAUUGAGGAUGUGACCUGUUUUCAGUGAUGCUGAAGCCCAACAAAGAUCAGGGUGGUGACCAGAGUAAGACUUGUUUUGCUUGUUGCUGUAAAGGAGUGCACACACAGACAUCUAUCCUGAUAGAUAUCCUGAUAGAUAUCCUGAAGAGAGGCUUUAAGUUUGGGACUCUUGCUGAAUGAUUCUUAGGAAAACUGGAGGAAACUGGGAGUCAUUUUUGAGCUGGAUAGGUCAGAAAGUGCAGGCCAAUUCUGAGACCUUGUCUGUCACCAGUGUAAGAAACUUUGAGUAUCUUAGUAAUUUUAUCUGGUAGGGGGAGAAUUGAAGCAGAGCUAGAGAAUUGUCAUUGGGAAGGGAAGAGCAAGAUGGGUAUGGUGGCACAUGUCUACAAUCCUAGUACUCUGAGAGACCGAGGCAGCAGGAUUGCAAGUUCAAGCCCAGCCUGGACAACUUAGCAUCUGAGUGAAUCUCUGUCUCAAAAUAGAAAAAUAAAAAAGUGCUGAGAAUGUAGCUCAGUGUGAAAGCCCUGGGUUCAACCCCCAGUACCAUGAUAGAGAGAAAGAAAAAAAGAUUAAUACAUUUUUGUGGUUGAAAUAGGGCCUUGUCUCUGCCAUGUUUUAGUCGUGAUCUCAGAGUAGCCAUGUCCAAUUAUUGUUCAUAUUCUGCAAAAGUUGUUGGGAAUGCUUUGCUUCAAGUCUCACUGCUAACGGACAGCUACUAGAGCCAUUUUUUACUUUCUCAGAAUCACUUUGGAACUCCCUGGGAGGAACCAAUAAACCAGGAAAUUCCCUGAAAGCAGUGCAUUGUGGGGAAUGUGGGUUUUAUGUAGAUAUUGUCUACAUGUCCAAAGAACCAACUGGUGGAGGAAGGAGGAUGACAACUUUGGGAGAGAAAAGCUUGUGGAGGAGAGGCUCCUGGAAAUGGGGCUCUUGGCCUGGAGCCCACACAUCAGCACUAUCCCUGGCUGGGGAGGGUGGCAGGAAACACUUUCUUCCUAUGGGCACAGGUAGUGUCAAGCCAGCCAGGGAAGGGGAAAAUAUGAUCUGUGGGGAGAAGUAGAGCAAAACUAUAAAAAACAAUGUGUCUAGAAGAUGCAGAAGGCAAGCCAGGAUCUGGAGAAUGGUCACAGGCAAGAUCCUGAAAACUACUUCCAGAAAUCUGUGGCAUUCUUGACAGUGUAAAUAAGGAUACUGCUUGGGGAAAAGGGGGUUGCUAGAAAUUGUAGGCAAUUAUUCAAAGACACGUGGAUGAUAAAUGUGAGAAUGAACGAGAUUGGAAGGACUUAAGAAAUCCUGGGCUGGGGAUUUAGCUCAGCGGCAUAAGCGCCUGCCUUGCAAGUGUGCGUUUGUGAGUUCAAUCACCGGUACCAAUAAAAAAGAAAAAGCAAAGAAAUCCUUCUACAGAUGCUGAACCUAAGAAUCACACUUGAAGGUAGUGAAGAACUG